AAUAAAGCAAAACUAUAUAAUGUGAACAGACUAUCUAAUCAGUUGAAAAUAGUAAUGAUAAUAAUAAUAAUGAUACUGACCUCCCCCAAAGAUAAAGAGAUGCCUUCAGAUUUCCUCUAGCGCAUGUAAUAGCAACAGCUUAUAAUUUCCAUCUUUAGAGGUCUUACUGCUACAAUCACAAGAACCAAAUCCUUAAAACAACACUCCUCCUCCCAACCCCCAAGUUACAUGACUGUUUUUAAGACCUUUGUUUGUUUGUUUAUUGUUUCCAUUAUACGAUUUUUGACUCUGUCUUUACAGUUGUGGAUGUGUCUAUUUGCUCAUGCCCAUAGAGGGUAUUUUGCCUCUUGUGGAGACCUGUCAUAAAAUGGGGCGAAGAGCAAAUUCCUUCUGGUGGAAAAGGUGUUAACACUUUAUAUUUAUUCAUAAAUAGCAAAAAGCAAAUAAAUGGUAAAAGGGGCCCACACUUGUUCACACACACACACACACACACACACACACACACACACACACACACACUCCUCGCUAUCCUUUCCAGUCUGGCAGGUGUAGUCUGGCUCUGGGCAGUGCCGGUAACCGCCAAUCCUCUGGAGCUGAGCAGCCGCAGUGCAGGCUUUGCCGUCUGAGCAGUGGAUGACCGCGUGAGCGGCUGCGUGGAGGACAUGGAGAUUAUUUCUCCGCACGAUGUUGUCUCUGCUGGGCCCUGGGGAGUGCAUUGUGUACACUACAAAGCCACAUUGCCUUUCGGCAGAAUGAGCACCAAAAAUUCAAGUCAUUACCAAGACUCUUUUCUUCCCAACAGAUACUUUCCAGGACAAAGUAGUUCGUGUUCUUCAGUGCUGGAAGUAGCAGAAACCAAAGGGCUCACAGUUGUAUGAAAUAGUCCAUUGGAUAGUCGAUGUUUUGCAUAUGCCUAUGGUUUAACAUGCAAGAGUAUCUGGAAGUUCAAGCAAGAACUGUGCAGUGAGUGAUUUUUGAGGACUACAAGAAGAAUGAAUCAAAGACAUUAUCAACUAGCCAUCAUUCCUUAUACUGGCUUCAUCUUAACCAAAUCUGGAAACACACCCCAGACUGACAUUGUUUAGAGAGUGAACUCAGUGUAAAUCCCACGAUCCUCUCUGAGUGUUACAAUCACCAAAGCUAAAGACCCACUGGGUCGACGUUUUUCUCUAUUCUUCUCUCUGGGAUAAUAAAAGAAUUACUUCUUGUUGAAUAAAAG
rnacentral:lncRNA from 1 species